GACGAACGCUGGCGGCGUGCUUAACACAUGCAAGUCGAACGGUAAGGCCCUUCGGGGUACACGAGUGGCGAACGGGUGAGUAACACGUGGGUGAUCUGCCCUGCACUUCGGGAUAAGCCUGGGAAACUGGGUCUAAUACCGGAUAGGACCCUGGGAUGCAUGUCCUGGGGUGGAAAGCUUUUGCGGUGUGGGAUGGGCCCGCGGCCUAUCAGCUUGUUGGUGGGGUGAUGGCCUACCAAGGCGACGACGGGUUGCCGGCCUGAGAGGGUGACCGGCCACACUGGGACUGAGAUACGGCACAGACUCCUACGGGAGGCAGCGGUGGGGAAUAUUGCACAAUGGGCGCAAGCCUGAUGCAGCGACGCCGCGUGAGGGAUGACGGCCUUCGGGUUGUAAACCUCUUUCAGCAUCGACGAAGCGCAAGUGACGGUAGGUGCAGAAGAAGGACCGGCCAACUACGCGCCAGCCGCCGCUGUAA
rnacentral:rRNA from 1 species